UUACCUAAAGCCAAAAGGCGGCGUUCCGUUGUUAAUGGGACCAAUGGACGAUGAAUUAAUGUCCUGGGUAAG
rnacentral:tRNA from 1 species